AAGUCCCGCAAGGGAUGAGUAGAGUGGCAAACGGGUGAGUAACACGUGGGUGACCUGCCUUCGAGCGGGGGAUAACGUCCCGAAAGGGACGCUAAUACCGCAUGACAUCCCGCCUUUGAAGAGGUGGAGAUCAAAGCUGGGGAUCGCAAGACCUAGCACUUGAAGAGGGGCCCGCGUCUGAUUAGCUAGUUGGUGGGGUAACGGCUCACCAAGGCAACGAUCAGUAUCCGGUCUGAGAGGGCGGACGGACACACUGGGACUGAGACACGGCCCAGACUCCUACGGGAGGCAGCAGUGGGGAAUAUUGGACAAUGGGCGCAAGCCUGAUCCAGCCAUGCCGCGUGAGUGAUGAAGGCCUUAGGG
rnacentral:rRNA from 1 species